AAAAAAGCUUAGCAGCUCACUAGAGUAUCACCGAGUGUCCCUGCACACCACACAACGACACAAACACUGGACUAACCUAGCCCACCCCUGCUUUCUUCUACAUCACUGCUUCCCUGAUGUCAGCGUGAGAGGCAGAACAAAGGCUAGGAGGCACACGCAUGAAGACAAGUGAAAAUUAAGGAUUUUUUAGAAAAUGGGUUUGAAAUCUUUGCCCAGCCCACACCCCUGUAUGUAAAUAGGACUGUCAGGGCUGUGUUUGUCCACAGCUAAAGCUCCAGAUGAACCCGUGCAGCCGCGAUGACAGGAACAGCUGACUCAUUAGGAGGCAGCAGUGAAAGGUAAUUAACCCUGGGAAAAGUACAGCUGCCGUGCGGGCUGCUCCUUUCUGUAGG
rnacentral:lncRNA from 1 species